rnacentral:rRNA from 1 species
UACGGGGGGAGCAAGCGUUGUUCGGAUUUACUGGGCGUAAAGCGCGCGUAGGCGGCUUUGUAAGUCAGGGGUGAAAUCCCACAGCUUAACUGUGGAACUGCCUUUGAAACUGCAAAGCUUGAGUGUCGGAGGGGAUAGCGGAAUUGCUAAUGUAGAGGUGAAAUUCGUAGAUAUUAGCAGGAACACCGGUGGCGAAGGCGGCUAUCUGGACGACAACUGACGCUGAGGCGCGAAAGCGUGGGGAUCAAACAGG